GGUAAGGUGGCUCAGUAGUAGAGCAUUUGCCUUGUAUGCAUGAGGCCCUGGGUUCAAUUCUUCAGCACCA
rnacentral:tRNA from 1 species